UUCUAAUAUGGCAGAAUAGUGCAAUGAACUUAAAAUUCAUAUAUAAAUUUUUACAUUUUUUUAGAAA
rnacentral:tRNA from 1 species